UACCCAUGGACCAGCAAAAGGGUCGAAAAACUGGCCAUUGUGCAGUCUGUCCGGGCCGAAUUAAAAUUAAAAAGCGAGAUAUGGCACGACCACAAGGCCAUACAAAAAAAGUUUUGUGACCUGAAGCGCCUACACAAAAAAAUGGUCGAUGAGUACAGUCGGCGAUUACGCCCAGGUCAACCCGUUCCCUCGAUCCGCCACCACAAAAA